UAACGCGUGGGAAUCUGCCUAUCAGUGGGGAAUAACGACGGGAAACUGUCGCUAAUACCGCAUACGGCCUGAGGGCGAAAGAUUUAUCGCUCUAGGAGGGGCCCGCGUCGGAUUAGCUUGUUGGCGGGGUAACGGCCCACCAAGGCUAUGAUCCGUAGCUGGUCUGAGAGGAUGAUCAGCCACACUGGGACUGAGACACGGCCCAGACUCCUACGGGAGGCAGCAGUGAGGAAUAUUGGACAAUGGGGGAAACCCUGAUCCAGCCAUGCCGCGUGAGUGAUGAAGGCCUUAGGGUUGU
rnacentral:rRNA from 1 species